CAGUAGCCGCGGGAAAACGAGGGGAGCUAGCGUUAUUCGGAAUUACUGGGCGUAAAGCGCACGUAGGCGGCUUUGUAAGUUAGAGGUGAAAGCCCAGAGCUCAACUCUGGAAUUGCCUUUAAGACUGCAUCGCUUGAAUCCAGGAGAGGUGAGUGGAAUUCCGAGUGUAGAGGUGAAGUUCGUAGAUAUUCGGAAGAACACCAGUGGCGAAGGCAGCUCACUGGACUGGUAUUGACGCUGAGGUGCGAAAGCGUGGGGAGCAAACAGGAUUAGAUACCCCGGUAGUCCCUGUCUCUUAUAC
rnacentral:rRNA from 1 species